AGCUGGAAUCGCUAGUAAUCGCGAAUCAGAAUGUCGCGGUGAAUACGUUCCCGGGUCUUGUACACACCGCCCGUCACACCAUGGGAGUCAGCAACGCCCGAAGUCAGUGACCCAACCGAAAGGAGGGAGCUGCCGAAGGCGGGGCAGGUAACUGGGGUGAAGUCGUAACAAGGUACC
rnacentral:rRNA from 1 species